rnacentral:rRNA from 1 species
AGGUGAACCUGCGGAAGGAUCAUUGU